rnacentral:rRNA from 1 species
GGCUCAGAACGAACGCUGGCGGCGCGCCUAACACAUGCAAGUCGAGCGGGAACCUCUCCAGGGGUAACCCUGGGGAGGGGAGAGCGGCGAACGGGUGAGUACCACGUGGGCAACCUGCCCCAGACUCUGGGAUAACUCCGGGAAACCGGGGCUAAUACCGGAUACUCCGAUCGGAUCGCAUGGUCUGGUCGGGAAAGCUCCGACGGUCUGGGAUGGGCCCGCGGCCUAUCAGCUUGUUGGUGGGGUAACGGCCUACCAAGGCGACGACGGGUAGCUGGUCUGAGAGGACGGCCAGCCACACUGGGACUGAGACACGGCCCAGACUCCUACGGGAGGCAGCAGUGGGGAAUCUUGCGCAAUGGGCGAAAGCCUGACGCAGCGACGCCGCGUGGGGGAUGAAGGCCUUCGGGUUGUAAACCCCUUUCGGCAGGGACGAAGCGAAAGUGACGGUACCUGCAGAAGAAGCUCCGGCUAACUACGUGCCAGCAGCCGCGGUAAGACGUAGGGAGCGAGCGUUGUCCGGAUUCAUUGGGCGUAAAGCGCGCGUAGGCGGCCUCGCAAGUCGGUUGUGAAAUCCCGGGGCUCAACCCCGGGACUGCGUCCGAUACUGCGAGGCUGGAGGUAGGUAGGGGAGAUCGGAAUUCCUGGUGUAGCGGUGAAAUGCGCAGAUAUCAGGAGGAACACCGGUGGCGAAGGCGGAUCUCUGGGCCUUACCUGACGCUGAGGCGCGAAAGCUAGGGGAGCGAACAGGAUUAGAUACCCUGGUAGUCCUAGCCGUAAACGUUGGGUGCUAGGUGUGGGCGGAUAUCGACCCCGUCCGUGCCGAAGCUAACGCAUUAAGCACCCCGCCUGGGGAGUACGGCC